UUAGAGUGAAUGAGAGAGGGCGAGAUAUGGAGAGGCGGUUUUGAGAGAUGAGUGAGAGAAUGAGAGAGGAGGACGAUCGAGCUACUAUUUUGCGUCCUCAUUUUUUUUUCUUUUCUUGUUUAUUUAUUCAAUGCUUUAUUCUUUUUUAAAAACAGACUUUUAAAUCCCAUUAAGUGAAUGUUUAGAGUUUUUAGGUAGGUCAUUAACUAUGAUUUUAUUUGGUUUAGGAUUUAGUUAAAUGUUAAUAUUCCCAAUUCCUAACCUCUAAAAUCCAACAGCCAGGCGGCUGGAUUUUGUGGGGUAACCCAACAGUCCUUUUUUAUUAUUAUUAUUAUUUUGGUUUUAUUUUCUUUAAUUUUCUUUGUUCCAAUCUUUUCUUGAUUUAUAAAUCCCAUUUGACAUUGUAAAUGAUAACUAUUUAUAAGUGGUCUGGUGGAGAGGAGUGGUGUCUAGGUCUUUAGUGUAGUGGGUUUGAUUCCCUUAUGUGUAGUUUUUUUUCUUUUAAUAUUUUCUUUUAUAUUUAUGCUUUAUUACUCAUAGUUUUUUAUUAUUGUUUAAUAAUAUAGAUUUGUUUUUCUUUUAAUUGCAUCAUGUGUUCGAAACCGUUUGAAAACUAUAAAAAUCAUACUUUUCUCGAUUUAGUAUCUAGCCCUUUUUCACACCCUUGUAAGUCGAUUGCUUUUUAAGCAUCGCCAUCAACCUCACAUGGCUUACUCUUGGGCCUUCUUACAAUGAGCUCUUAAGCAACAUCAACUUAACUUUCAAUAAUUUCAAACCCCUAUACUUUGAUUAUUUUAAUUUAUUAUUCAAGACAUUUUCCAAUUAAAGCGUGAAGAAAAAG
rnacentral:lncRNA from 1 species